CCAAUAGCGUAUAUUAAAGUUGUUGCAGUUAAAAAGCUCGUAGUUGAAUUUCGGAAUCAGUAUGUUGGUCGUGCUUCGGUACGUACUGUCAUUACUGGUUUCUACCUUCUGAAGAACCUUGAUGUCAUUAAUUUGGUGUCUUGGGGAAUCAGGACUGUUACUUUGAAAAAAUUAGAGUGUUUAAAGCAAGCAUACGCUUGAAUACAUUAGCAUGGAAUAAUGAAAUAGGACUUUUGAUUCUAUUUUGUUGGUUUCUAGGAUCGACGUAAUGAUUAAUAGGGAUAGUGGGGGGCAUUAGUAUUCAAUUGUCAGAGGUGAAAUUCUUGGAUUUAUUGAAGACUAACUACUGCGAAAGCAUUUGCCAAGGAUGUUUUCAUUAAUCAAGAACGAAAGUUAGGGGAUCGAAGACGAUCAGAUACCGUCGUAGUCUUAACCAUAAACUAUGCCGACUAGGGAUUGGCGGGUGUUGAUUUGAUGACCCCGCCAGCACCUUAUG
rnacentral:misc_RNA from 1 species